UACGUAGGCAGCAAGCGUUGUUCGGAAUUACUGGGCGUAAAGAGUGUGUAGGCGGUGCUCUAAGUUUGGUGUGAAAUCUCCCGGCUCAACUGGGAGGGUGCGCCGAAAACUGGAAUGCUUGAACAUGGGAGAGGAAAGCGGAAUUCCUGGUGUAGCGGUGAAAUGCGUAGAUAUCAGGAGGAACACCUGCGGUGUAGACGGCUUUCUGGACCAUUGUUGACGCUGAGACACGAAAGCGUGGGUAGGCAAACAGG
rnacentral:rRNA from 1 species